AAACGGGUGAGUAACGCGUAGGCAACCUGCCUACUAAAGAGUAGGGGACAACACGCCCGAAAGGGCUGCUAAUACCGAAUGUUGUGAGUUUUCCGCAUGGAGAGCUCAUUAAAGAUGGCCUCUACUUGUAAGCUAUCACUUAGAGAUGGGCCUGCGUCUGAUUAGCUAGGUUGGUGGGGUAACGGCUCACCAAGGCGACGAUCAGUAGCCCGGUCUGAGAGGAUGAACGGCCACAUUGGGACUGAGACACGGCCCAGACUCCUACGGGAGGCAGCAGUGGGGAAUCUUCCGCAAGUGGGCGAAAGCCUGACGGAGCAACGCCGCGUGAGUGAAGAAGGUCUUCGGAUCGUAAAGCUCUGUACGGAAGGGGAACGAACGUUAACCUUUAUCAACAACGAAGGUUAAUGACGGUACCUUUCAAGAAAGCCACGGCUAACUACGUGCCAGCAGCCGC
rnacentral:rRNA from 1 species